UACGGGGGGAGCAAGCGUUGUUCGGAUUUACUGGGCGUAAAGGGCGCGUAGGCGGCCACCGCAAGUCAGUUGUGAAAUCUCUGGGCUUAACCCAGAAAGGUCAACUGAUACUGCGGGGCUAGAGUGCAGAAGGGGCAACUGGAAUUCUCGGUGUAGCGGUGAAAUGCGUAGAUAUCGAGAGGAACACCUGCGGCGAAGGCGGGUUGCUGGGGUGACACUGACGCUGAAGCGCGAAAGCUAGGGGAGCGAACGGG
rnacentral:rRNA from 1 species